rnacentral:tRNA from 1 species
AGGGCUAUAGCUCAGUUGGUAGAGCAACUCGUUUACACCG